ACAAAAUACAAAACAAGUGAAACUCCAAAAAUCGAUAACAUUUUUAUGUAUAAAUAAAAUAAAAAUGUUAUCGAUUUUUGGAGUUUCACUUGUUUUGUAUAUUAUUCU
rnacentral:miRNA from 1 species